rnacentral:RNase_P_RNA from 1 species
UGGGUGGGACGAUCGCUGGUGGUACGAGUUAUCACUGGAGGAAAGUCCGGGCUCCGCAGGACAGGAUGGUCGAUAACGUCGACCGGCCGUGAGGUUAGGGAAAGUGCAACAGAGAGUAGACCGCCGAACGGCGCUUUCGAGCGUGCGUGGUAAGGCUGAAACGGUGCGGUAAGAGCGCACCAGCGUUCGUGGUGACACGAUCGGCUCGGUAAACCCCAUCCGGAGCUAGACCAAACAGAAUGAAGCGGCGGUCCGUCGCGUUCCAUCAUUCGGGUAGGUCGCAAUUGAGGCGGCGAGCAAUCGUCGUGCACAGAUAAAUGAUCGUUGGCGAAAGUGCAAACUUUCGUUACAGAACCCGGCUUACAAAC